rnacentral:rRNA from 1 species
AAAAAAGGUAAGCUACUAAGAGCGAAUGGUGGAUGCCUUGACUGGUAAAGGCGAUGAAGGACGUACUAGACUGCGAUAAGCUACGGGGAGCUGUCAAGAAGCUUUGAUCCGUAGAUUUCCGAAUGGGGCAACCCAAUGUAUAGAGAUAUACAUUACCUAUAUAGGAGCGAACGAGGGGAAUUGAAACAUCUUAGUACCCUCAGGAAAAGAAAUCAAUAGAGAUUGCGUCAGUAGCGGCGAGCGAAAGCGCAAGAGGGCAAACCCAGUGCUUGCACUGGGGGUUGUAGGACUGCAAUGUGCAAGAGGUGAGUUUAGCAGAACAUUCUGGAAAGUAUAGCCAUAGAGGGUGAUAGUCCCGUAUGCGAAAAACAAACCUUAGCUAGCAGUAUCCUGAGUAGGGCGGGACACGAGAAAUCCUGUCUGAAGCUGGGUCGACCACGAUCCAACCCUAAAUACUAAUACCAGAUCGAUAGUGCACAAGUACCGUGAGGGAAAGGUGAAAAGAACUGAGGUGAUCAGAGUGAAAUAGAACCUGAAACCAUUUGCUUACAAUCAUUCAGAGCCCUAUGUAGCAAUACAGGGUGAUGGACUGCCUUUUGCAUAAUGAGCCUGCGAGUUGUGGUGUCUGGCAAGGUUAAGCAAACGCGAAGCCGUAGCGAAAGCGAGUCUGAAUAGGGCGCUUAGUCAGAUGCUGCAGACCCGAAACGAAGUGAUCUAUCCAUGAGCAAGUUGAAGCUAGUGUAAGAACUAGUGGAGGACUGAACCCAUAGGCGUUGAAAAGCCCCGGGAUGACUUGUGGAUAGGGGUGAAAGGCCAAUCAAACUUCGUGAUAGCUGGUUCUCUCCGAAAUAUAUUUAGGUAUAGCGUUGUGUCGUAAUAUAAGGGGGUAGAGCACUGAAUGGGCUAGGGCAUACACCAAUGUACCAAACCCUAUCAAACUCCGAAUACCUUAUAUGUAAUCACAGCAGUCAGGCGGCGAGUGAUAAAAUCCGUCGUCAAGAGGGAAACAACCCAGACUACCAGCUAAGGUCCCUAAAUCUUACUUAAGUGGAAAACGAUGUGAAGUUACUUAAACAACCAGGAGGUUGGCUUAGAAGCAGCCAUCCUUUAAAGAAAGCGUAAUAGCUCACUGGUCUAGUGAUUUUGCGCGGAAAAUAUAACGGGGCUAAAGUAAGUACCGAAGCUGUAGACUUGCGCACAACUUAGAUUAUUUAAGUUUAGAAUAUGAGAAACUAAGUUAUAUGUUUAGUUAUAUUUUUACUGAUUUUUAUAGAGUAAAGAUAGAAAUAAAACUUAGUAAAAUCAGUAAAAAUAUUCUUAGACUAAAGUUAAGUAGUUUAAGUUGUGUGCAAGUGGUAGGAGAGCGUUCUAUUUGCGUCGAAGGUAUACCGGUAAGGAGUGCUGGAGCGAAUAGAAGUGAGCAUGCAGGCAUGAGUAGCGAUAAUUAAUGUGAGAAUCAUUAACGCCGUAAACCCAAGGUUUCCUACGCGAUGCUCGUCAUCGUAGGGUUAGUCGGGUCCUAAGUCGAGUCCGAAAGGGGUAGACGAUGGCAAAUUGGUUAAUAUUCCAAUACCAACAUUAGUGUGCGAUGGAAGGACGCUUAGGGCUAAGGGGGCUAGCGGAUGGAAGUGCUAGUCUAAGGUCGUAGGAGGUUAUACAGGCAAAUCCGUAUAACAAUACUCCGAGAACUGAAAGGCUUUUUGAAGUCUUCGGAUGGAUAGAAGAACCCCUGAUGCCGUCGAGCCAAGAAAAGUUUCUAAGUUUAGCUAAUGUUGCCCGUACCGUAAACCGACACAGGUGGGUGGGAUGAGUAUUCUAAGGCGCGUGGAAGAACUCUCUUUAAGGAACUCUGCAAAAUAGCACCGUAUCUUCGGUAUAAGGUGUGGUUAGCUUUGUAUUAGGAUUUACUCCGAAAGCAAGGAAACUUACAACAAAGAGUCCCUCCCGACUGUUUACCAAAAACACAGCACUCUGCUAACUCGUAAGAGGAUGUAUAGGGUGUGACGCCUGCCCGGUGCUCGAAGGUUAAUUGAUGGGGUUAGCAUUAGCGAAGCUCUUGAUCGAAGCCCGAGUAAACGGCGGCCGUAACUAUAACGGUCCUAAGGUAGCGAAAUUCCUUGUCGGUUAAAUACCGACCUGCAUGAAUGGCGUAACGAGAUGGGAGCUGUCUCAAAGAGGGAUCCAGUGAAAUUGUAGUGGAGGUGAAAAUUCC